rnacentral:lncRNA from 1 species
UUUCGAAUAUUUGAGUGUUACAAUCUCUAUGAAUCAUCUAAUUCUUCUUUCCAAUAGUAAAUAAAUUCAAGGGCCUUCGAGCUUGAUCUUAAAACUAUAUUUGUUUCCACAAACGAUGAUCUUGUUCUUGAGCUUGAGCUUAAUUGCUUGAACUUGAUCUUGAUUCGUUCUUGGAUUUGAACUUGAACUUGAACUUUAUUGAUUGAAACUUGAAACUUGUGGAGGAAUUUGCAGUGUUUGAUCCACGAGCUCUUUCUUGCUUCUUGUUAUAACUUGCGGCCCCCUUUCUUAGUUAUGAAGACCCCUAUUUAUAGUUGUGGAAGGGAAGAGUUGUAAUAAGAACAAACUCUUUUCGACCAAUCAAAUUGAAGUGUGACAUGCUGCAUUUGAUUAACCAGAACAUGUCACUUGCACACAUGGCGCGAUUUCAUUGGCCUUUUAGUGUGACUGUGCAUGCCUUGUCAUUUUGACACGUGGCAUGGUCCUAUUGGCUUUUCCGCUUGACUUGGUGCGCCACGUCAUUUGACACGUGGCACCAAACUGAGCCUCUAAUAAGAUGACAUCUUAGGCUUAAUGAAGUAGGCUCAUCAUUUGUGGCCCAAUUAAAUGGGCUAGCCCAAUGGAUUAAGACUUACUUAUUUAAUCCAUAUAUAUU